UGGGGAAUUUUCCGCAAUGGGCGAAAGCCUGACGGAGCAAUGCCGCGUGGAGGUGGAAGGCCUACGGGUCGUCAACUUCUUUUCUCGGAGAAGAAACAAUGACGGUAUCUGAGGAAUAGCAUCGGCUAACUCUGUGCCG
rnacentral:rRNA from 1 species